rnacentral:tRNA from 1 species
UUCCUGGUUGUCCAGUGGCUAAGACUCUGCACUGCCAAUGCAGGGGGCCUGGGUUUGAUCCCCGGUCAGGGAA